CGUCUUUUAUUGGAGAAAUCCAUCGCUGGAAAAGAUGAUUCUGCUAGCAUUCGACCCAAUACAGCUAUUAUUAAAGAAGCAUGUGAUAGGACGAUCGAAGCAGAAACCCUGGCAAAGGAGCGUCUUGGUGAAUUGAACAACAAACUUAGUGUCCAUUGCAGAAUCCCAGUCUUGCUGCAGCCCAAGGUAACUUUUGCUCCUAACAAUCAAUAAAGGGAUAGCAGCAGAGAAGCUACAAGAAUUAAUGCGCGUUUGCUGAGACAAUGUAUGCAUUGUUUGCCUUUGAUUUCUUUAUCCAAUUGAGGCAUUGGUGUGAUAUUAUGUGAUAGCCAUGGGAU